UACGAAGGGGGCUAGCGUUGCUCGGAAUCACUGGGCGUAAAGGGUGCGUAGGCGGGUCUUUAAGUCAGGGGUGAAAUCCUGGAGCUCAACUCCAGAACUGCCUUUGAUACUGAAGAUCUUGAGUUCGGGAGAGGUGAGUGGAACUGCGAGUGUAGAGGUGAAAUUCGUAGAUAUUCGGAAGAACACCAGUGGCGAAGGCGACAUACUGGUCCGUUACUGACACUGAGGCUCGACAGCGUGGGGAGCAAACAGG
rnacentral:rRNA from 1 species